rnacentral:rRNA from 1 species
UACGAAGGGGGCUAGCGUUGCUCGGAAUCACUGGGCGUAAAGCGCACGUAGGCGGCUUUUUAAGUCAGGGGUGAAAUCCUGGAGCUCAACUCCAGAACUGCCUUUGAUACUGCGGUGCUUGAGGACUGGAGAGGAGACUGGAAUUCAUGGUGUAGCAGUGAAAUGCGUAGAGAUCAUGAGGAAGACCAGUGGCGAAGGCGGGUCUCUGGACAGUUCCUGACACUGAGGCACGAAGGCCAGGGGAGCAAACGGG